UGUUGGUAUCGUUAGUGGCGGACGGGGUGAGUAACGCGUGGGUAACCUGCCUUACACUGGGGGAUAACACUUAGAAAUAGGUGCUAAUACCGCAUAACAGGGAAAGAUGCAUGUCUUUUCCUUAAAAACUCCGGUGGUGUAAGAUGGACCCGCGUCUGAUUAGCUUGUUGGCGGGGUAACGGCCCACCAAGGCGACGAUCAGUAGCCGGCCUGAGAGGGUGAACGGCCACAUUGGGACUGAGACACGGCCCAAACUCCUACGGGAGGCAGCAG
rnacentral:rRNA from 1 species